CUCCAGAAAAGGAAUGUUCACACACCUUACUUCCUGUCCUAGUCCCAAGCCCAAAAAGAUGGACUUACUGGGGCUGGCUGUGGUGGAAUAAGAAAGUCUGCUCCAGAAGGAGCUACCUGAGGGGU
ensembl:snoRNA LOC120101226 small nucleolar RNA SNORD22